AAUAGAGGAGCGGGCGAACAUGAGUACCCCUGCCCUGCGGGAAGCGGAUAUUUCCCGGCGGGAGGGAAAGGGUAUCCCCGCCGAAGCGCGGCGUUAUUCCGCAUCCGCCGCCGCUGGGCGCAAAGGUUAACACCCUUGCGACUGUCACCGACGUGGAGAACUAUUC
rnacentral:ncRNA from 1 species